GACGAACGCUGGCGGCGUGCCUAAUACAUGCAAGUAGAAGCUAGUUGCGAACGGGUGAGUACCGCGUAGGACCCUGCCUCAUAGCGGGGGAUAACUAUUGGAACCGAUAGCUAAUACCGCAUACUGUGAGAUGGACCUGGGUUGUAUUAGCUAGUUGGUGGGGUAACGGCUUACCAAGGCGACGAUCCGUAGCUGGUUUGAGAGGACGACCAGUCACACUGGGACUGAGACACGGCCCAGACUCCUACGGGAGGCAGCAGUGGGGAAUUUUGGACAAUGGGCGAAACCCUGAUCCAGCCAUGCCGCGUGUGUGAUGAAGGCCUUCGGAUUGUAAAGCACUUUUGGCAGGAAAGCGGUACCUGCAGAAUAAGCACCGGCUAACUACGUGCCAGCAGCCGCGGUAAUAC
rnacentral:rRNA from 1 species